rnacentral:rRNA from 1 species
AACGAACGCUGGCGGCAGGCUUAACACAUGCAAGUCGAACGCACCUUUCGGGGUGAGUGGCAGACGGGUGAGUAACGCGUGGGAAUCUACCCUUCUCUACGGGAUAGCUCCGGGAAACUGGAAUUAAUACCGUAUACGUCCUGAGGGAGAAAGAUUUAUCGGGGAAGGAUGAGCCCGCGUUGGAUUAGCUAGUUGGUGGGGUAAAGGCCUACCAAGGCGACGAUCCAUAGCUGGUCUAAGAGGAUGAUCAGCCACAUUGGGACUGAGACACGGCCCAAACUCCUACGGGAGGCAGCAGUGGGGAAUAUUGGACAAUGGGCGCAAGCCUGAUCCAGCCAUGCCGGGUGAGUGAUGAAGGCCCUAGGGUUGUAAAGCUCUUUCAGUGGGGACGAUAAUGACGGUACCCACAGAAGAAGCCCCGGCUAACUACGUG